rnacentral:rRNA from 1 species
UACGUAGGGUGCAAGCGUUGUCCGGAAUUAUUGGGCGUAAAGAGCUUGUAGGCGGUUUGUCGCGUCUGCUGUGAAAAGCUGGGGCUUAACCCUGGCCUUGCAGUGGAUACGGGCAGACUAGAGGUAGGUAGGGGAGAAUGGAAUUCCCGGUGUAGCGGUGAAAUGCGCAGAUAUCGGGAGGAACACCGGUGGCGAAGGCGGGUCUCUGGACAGUUCCUGACGCUGAGGCACGAAGGUCAGGGGAGCAAACGGG